AACAAAACAAAAAAACUAUAUAAAUAUAAAACAGAGUGUGAACAACAAAACAUCAGCUUUGGAAACUUUGAUGUAAAAUUCUGCAAUUGUUUUCUCAGGAUAUAGCAUGAAUAAAACUAAUAUACAUCAGUGUAUUAUUAAUGUGCACACACACACACACACACACACACACACACACACGCACAAAGUGUUACAAUAAACAGCUCUUAUGCUUCUGUAUAAUUCUCAAUGCUUUCCAUUUGUGUGUCCACAGAUUGCAGGUAAGUGGUGCUUGACUGAAGUUUGCUCUAAUUUCAGGUGGUUUGUCUGUCGUAAAGCCAAUAUGAAGUCCGGCCAUGGUUGAGCCAACUGAAGAUGGGGUUUUAAGGUGGCAUUCUCAUUUCCUCUCGAUACAUGUUGGAAAAUGGAGACUUUAGCCACCAAGACUGACGUGCCUGGAAACUUCCCUGUGAGUACGCCCACAAAGACAGGAAACAGUUUAACCACCACGGUUAAUCCUCCAUCAUCAUCAUCAGUAUUACUUUUUUUCACAUCUUUUCUUCUGCUGUUUCCCUUUUUGUCAGUCACGGGCUUUGUGACUGAAAUGCGUGUGGUCGAUGGGAAGCCUGACGAGUACGGCCUGAAUCAUUACAUCAACACCGGACGGAGUGAAACCUUUGUUGAAAACAGAUUAUAUGGACGCAGUCUGGACCUCAGCGCUGAGGAGAAGUUCAACCAGCUCUGCUUGCAGACCGACAUCCUUCCUGAAAAUAUUCUUCAUCUUCCUAAAACUUUUACAUUGGUGCUGAAGUUCUAUAUAAAAACAGCCUGAAAUACAAACUGAUGUUGUGCACUGAUUACCUCACACUGUCCAUGUUUCCUUCUACAGAGGAGUGUCCGCUUCAGUGCUUUGUCUGACUGAUCUGUUGUUGAUCGUCUCACCGACACUGCAUAAAUAUCUGACACCAUCUGUUAUGGAAAUAUGACUGAGCAAC
ensembl:lncRNA